CAAAACUUUCAACAAUGGAUCUCUUGGUUCCGGCAUCGAUGAAGAACGCAGCGAAAUGCGAUAAGUAAUGUGAAUUGCAGAAUUCCGUGAAUAAUCGAAUCUUUGAACGCACAUUGCGCCCUCCGGUAUUCCGGAGGGCAUGCCUGUUCGAGCGUCAU
rnacentral:rRNA from 1 species